ensembl:lncRNA
GGAGGUUUAAACGGCUGCACCCCAGAGCUAUCGCUCAGUAGCCGAGGUCUGCUGGUUUGGAGCCGGCGCGGCUGGCGCCGCGACAACGAAUUCCGAGGUACAGAGGGGUUUCGGCAGAUUUCCUUUCCCUGGGGAAACCCGGGAGAGGAGAAUGACCCGGUAGCGGCUGCCAGCUCUCCCGAGAGAGGCUCACGUGGCGUGGGCGUUGCCGAGGCAGUGGCGCCCGCACGCAGGGAGGGCCAUGACGCGUCGCUGCCACCGGGCUCGGAGAGUAGGAGGAUCUGGAUUGUCAGGUGAGAAAGCCCUUCAGAGAAAAAAACCCUUCCUUAGAUGCAGCUGUGGCAUCUCUGCCACUGAACUUCCAUGUGCACAAGCUUGGAGCCAUGACCACUGCCCUGGCAAGCCUGUAUCAGCAUCUGAACAUCCUCUCAGUGAAGACCCUUUUCUCAUACGCAACCUGAACCUCCCCUGAUGAAACUUCUGGCCAUUUCCUUGGGUGACAUGGACAGUGGUAUCAAAUGCACCCUCAGCAAAUUUGCAGAGGACACCAAACUGAGUGGUGCAGAUGACAUGCUAGAGGAAAGAAAUGCCAUCCAGAGGGACCUUGACAGGCUUCAGAGUCUUCUAUAAGAGGAACACUUAAUUCCCACCAAGCUGAUCCAAAGCUGAACCGUGUGAAUGUCUUGGGAUUAAAGAGAAAGAGAGGACAACCAGUCAUGCUAAAGACUGAGACAUAGGAAAAGCAGAGGUCUGUAUGUUGGAGGAGAGGUAAGAGAAGAGUCCAUCUCUUUGUGCCCAUGUCUGCAUCUGCCAGGGGAAACUAAGGAAGAAUGGAAGUACCACUUCCUACCACGUACUCUGAUAUCACAGUACUUUACAGCCUGAAGUCUUUUAAAAUUUUGUGAUGGACUGUGUGGAAAUUUAUCCCACUGGGUAACCCAUCCGUGUCAUAUUCUAAUCCUUAUGUUUGUAACCUAUUUCUGCUACCUCCCAUCUGCCUUUACUUUGAAGCUUAUAAUUUACAUUGUGUUUGUGCCACCACCCACAUUCUGCCUCACGACAGUGAACAGGAAAGAGUGCUUCCUGUAAAUACUGGGAGAUACCACAACCCUAAUGACCAUAAUGAGCACUGGGGCAAGCACAUUCAGAAGUACCAGCAGUUCUGUAUGUACCAUGUUGCUCUAGGCAUUCCUCCUGAUCACUAGAACAAGAAAAUGUAUAAUUUGGAAAGUUGAGGUUGUAUGUAUGUCAUUCUGAAAUUGUUUAUUUAUUUCCAUGGAAACUACAGCAGAUACAAAGAGCACAAUAACACUAUUUGAUCGAGCAAAUUCUCAGCUACAAAACACUGCUUUUCCAACAUAGUCACCACCAUUAGUUGUGCAUUUUCACCAGUGACGAACAAGAGCCUGCAUGCUGCUCUUAUAAAAAUCUGCUGAAAUGCACCACCCACCACCUCACUGUGCACACAUCUACAGUUUGUCUCCAUAAACAUUCAGCAAAUGUAGAUGGAUGACAGUGGAUGCCAUUUUCUCUUCACGAAGAAAUUCAGUUCCACACUUCUGCUUCAUAUGCACUUCUGCAUCAGAUGUUGUUUUGUCAGACUGCCCCUCUGCUGCCAUCUGUUACACAGCAGCAAAAUACAAUAGAAUAUUGGUGGGAAGAUUCAACCUCUACUGUUACACAACCAGCAUCCACUUCUGAUGUCAUGGAUCUACAUAAUAAAUUAGGAGGCAUUGUUUUCGGAGCAACUUUCAUAAUUCCUGUUACAACAAGCAAUCUUUUGUAUCAUAUGCUAACUGCACACAUAAUCAGAUGUAUUUUCAAUAUAUCUAUGUGUCUAUGCAAGACAAGGAACAGUGGACUAAGCUUGUUCUCAACACUGCAAUUCAUAGGCAUAUAAAUUCUUUGAAACAUUACUAAAAUAAACAUGAAAUUACCUACUUGAGGAGCCUGGGCAUAGCAAAAAAAUAUGGGUAAUGAUACAGAAAGUAGAGUUUAUCCUUAUCUACUAACCUAUUUCCAUCAGUGUGUAGUGUAUCUUUAUUACUUCAGAUAAGUGUCCUACUUCACUUUAGAGAAUCUCAUAUGCUUUUGUAAGUACUACAGUAUAAAUCAUACUAAUGCAUAUUCUACUUUGUUAGUAAGCUGUAACAUCUAAUGAAUGAAAAACAGUGUAAUUAACAAGCAAAGCGCUUUUCCACACAGGAACAGAGGUGGGUGGGCUUUCAAGUAGCAUGGGGGAAGAAUGCUGUGCCCAAUUUGCAUCCCAAGCACGGGGAGAGGCAUUGGAGGUUCACCCCACGGAGCAACAGAUUUUCUUCUAAGAAAGUACAGAAGCUUCUCUAGCCAGGCUUCCUGGCCAGCUUCAUCUUAUUUUGUGUAACCAGGUCUCUCCUCUUUCACAGCUGCUGCCCUGGAGCAGCAGGGUGCUGUGUACCCCACACAGCCUGUGGUUGCAAGAAGCAUAAAACCCAUCUUCGCCCACACAAAGACAGAGUUAGACAGAGGGGGAUAUGUCCAGAUGCUUCUCCCAGGGAAACUAACAGAAAAGAAAGAAAGAGUCACCUCUGCUUGCCCUCCUGCGUUCUUUGUGUUGUCCUCCCUCAAAUGCAUUUCCUGAGUUUCACCCACACCAGAAACAGCUUUCUCAUUCUCCUAACACAAUUCCAGUUUCUUACUAAAUCUGUCUUCUAUAUCCACGUUUUUUCAGGACAUUUACAACAGGCAGACACCUCCAUUCACAAAUCUCUACAAAACAGCAUUUUCAGGAGCUAGAACAGCCUAACAUUUGUAUUAUAUGUGUAUGACACAGAUUCUAGGAGACCUUUUUUCUCUUCGUUUUCUAAUAUUUCAAGCCAUCUUUUCUCCAUUUCAUUUCUAAUUCUGUCACAAUGUGUUGAUUGCAAAGUGCUUGCAGUAUGAACCUGCCCUUUUGCAUUUACAUGUGUUAAAAAUGCUGUGUAGAAACAAUAGCAUCCUUUGACUUCAUUGUGACUAAAAUUGAACCCUUAGUUUUUAAAAUAAAACUAUUUCCUCGUUUUAAGUGACUCAAGUGAUUUAAUUUUGUCCAGAUGUGGUGCAUGCAGUUUGGACUUACAAAUCCAAACAUUCGUUUUGAUCUAUUUCUGUAGGAUUGACAGGC